rnacentral:rRNA from 1 species
UACGUAGGGUGCAAGCGUUGUCCGGAAUUAUUGGGCGUAAAGAGCUCGUAGGUGGUUUGUCGCGUUGUCCGUGAAAACUCACAACUCAAUUGUGGGCGUGCGGGCGAUACGGGCAGACUGGAGUACUGCAGGGGAGACUGGAAUUCCUGGUGUAGCGGUGGAAUGCGCAGAUAUCAGGAGGAACACCGGUGGCGAAGGCGGGUCUCUGGGCAGUAACUGACGCUGAGGCGCGACAGCGUGGGGAGCAAACAGG